rnacentral:tRNA from 1 species
GGAGAGAUGACCGAGUGGUUGAAGGUAACGGUCUUGAAAACCGUCGUGCCCGCAAGGGUACCGUGGGUUCGAAUCCCACUCUCUCCGCCA